UAUCUGCAGACUUUAUGCAUGCAAAUUAUUCUUGCAACAGACAAUGGUGUUCUAACUGGCAAUCCAAAGUAUCAUGCACAAGGCUGCCUUGCCGUAUCCCUCAACUUAAUUUUUACGGGCACAGAUGUGGUCUGGCGGUAUCCCCUUUAUGCCACCUCUGCAAUGAGCUGGAAUCCAUCGAUCACUUUUUAUUAUCGUGUCGGCGGUUUUCUACUCAUCAAAAACUAUGUUUACAAAUUCCGCUUCGAAAUCCAGGACUGCCUUUGUGCAGUACUGCUGUACUCUCACUUGGAGUAACGGCAUUAGGAUACAGCCACAGGAACGCUUGCCAGUUAGAAUUUCCUCUGUGACACAAAAAGAUUGCCUUACUAAUAUUUCGCAUUUGCCAUGACUGAUAUAUUUCUCCUUCAAUAAGCGGUAAAUAUAGAAAAUUCUAAGCAAAAACACAAAUUCACAGUUAUAUUAAUAAUAUUAUUAUUCGAAGCUUGCUCAUUUUUACGUCUAUCCUCCAUGCAAUUUAUUAACAAGUUUGUGUUACGGCAUUCCUAUCUACAAGGCUGACUACCUUAUUAUACACUACUUUAUUUCUAUUAUUAUCGGUUUAUUUCUAAUCUUGGAUUAUUCAUGUAUUUCCCCUUCUUAUUAUUUAUUUAUUUAUUAACUUUUUUAUUUCGUUUCUCAAUCAUAUUACCACCCGGUUCGUGGCCUAUCACCCACAGUGGGUUUGUGCCAAUAAUUCAGCCUUCACCAUCAUCAUCAUCGCUAACACCUAGCCUCUACAUAUGCAUCUAGAUAGAUCGUACCUCGCGCUGGCCCGUGGAACGAGCCCUGCAACGGAACUGCUGCCACGGAACACUUGCCUGCUGAAACUCGUCUGUGCGGCUGGUACCGCGGACCUGUCGUUUGUCUCGGCCGUUGCAGCUCGUCUUGUUUGCAGAAACUAUGAGCGUCGGCUAUGAGAUCACCGCAGACACGAGAAGAGAGCUAUGGGUCACAGAAGAAAAUAUGUCCAGGAUCAACGCUCACUCCGCCCAGAGAGGCUUCCGGACUAGAAAGGUCAACAGCACGGAACUUAUCUUGACCAUGGACGAUGAAGGUAGGGCUCAGCAAGCCGUGAAAGCCGCUACUCCUGUGGGACAUAAGGAACGUGCUAUCACUACGAACCUUCCUCUUGGGGAAAUGCGUGUGGUCAUUGAACACAAGGAGUUGGCGGGGCCAUCGACAGCCCCCCGGAGGUUGGGAUCCUUUCUCACAGCCAGUUCACGGAGCCUCUCUGUAGAUCUCAUGAGGAGGCUACUUCAUCUCAUCAUGCACGAGCUGGAGUGAAUCGUGCACAAUAAACUGUGUAAAUACCAACACACUUCAAUUUCAA